UAACAAAUCACGCAAUCAGUUCCGUUCGAGUCGUUGAGAGCAGCUUGAAAGGGUUGCCAACCGCAUGGCGUCGACUUGCCCUGCAUUCACUGCUAGGGAAGCGUAUUCUCCACUCUCCUCUCCCUACUUUGGCCGGACUAGCAAGUGCUUUUAUGGUGUGCAGUGCUGAGUAUGUGACGAGUAUACUCACGGGCGGGGUUCAUGUCCGUGAUGGUGAACGCCCUCUCCAGCCUGGCGUCGAAGUCCGCGACGGAGGCAGCACGGCGGCGCAGGUCGGCGACGAGCUCCCAGCCGGGGGCGGGGGCCGCGGCCGCGAAGCGCAGCUGCACCUCCGCGUCAGAGACGCGUCCCCAGAGGUGGUCGCGGUACGUCACGUUCUGCACCACGUAGUCGGCGUUGGCGGCGGAGAGGUCGUGGACGUGCAGCACGGCACCUGCAGCAGCACGCCCAGGGCCAUGAGGAGCCCGUUGACUCGCUGCUCGGCGGCGCCGAGCACGAGGCUGUUGCCCAGGAAGCGCUGCGACUCGUCGCUCAGGAACUUGGUCCGCUCCACCAGGUAGCCGAGGUCGGGCGACGGCUGCGGCGCCGGC